UUACGGCCACAACACGUAGAAACAACAGAUCACGUAAGAUCCGAAGUUAAGCCACGUCGAGUCUGGUCAGUACCUAGAUGGGUAACCGCUUGGGAAUACCAGGUGU